rnacentral:rRNA from 1 species
UCCUACGGGAGGCAGCAGUGGGGAAUUUUGGACAAUGGGCGAAAGCCUGAUCCAGCAAUGCCGCGUGUGUGAAGAAGGCCUUCGGGUUGUAAAGCACUUUUGUCCGGAAAGAAAUGGCUCUGGUUAAUACCUGGGGUCGAUGACGGUACCGGAAGAAUAAGGACCGGCUAACUACGUGCCAGCACCCGCGGUAAUA